GAUGAACGCUGGCGGCGUGCCUAAUACAUGCAAGUCGAGCGAACGGACGAGAAGCUUGCUUCUCUGAUGUUAGCGGCGGACGGGUGAGUAACACGUGGAUAACCUACCUAUAAGACUGGGAUAACUUCGGGAAACCGGAGCUAAUACCGGAUAAUAUUUUGAACCGCAUGGUUCAAAAGUGAAAGACGGUCUUGCUGUCACUUAUAGAUGGAUCCACGCUGCAUUAGCUAGUUGGUAAGGUAACGGCUUACCAAGGCGACGAUGCGUAGCUGACCUGAGAGGAGGAUCAGUCACACUGGAACUGAGACAGGGUCCAGACUCCUACGGGAGGCAGCAGUGGGGAAUAUUGGAAAAUGGGCGAAAGCCUGAUGAAGCAAUGCCGCGUGUGUGAAGAAGGUCUUCGGAUCGUAAAGCACUUUAAGUUGGGAGGAAGGGCAGUAAGUUAAUACCUGGAUGUUUUGACGUUACCAAAAGAAUAAGCACCGGCUAACUUCGUG
rnacentral:rRNA from 1 species